UGGGGCGCCCAGGCGCGAAAACUUUACAAUGCUGGCAACAGCGAUAAGGGGACCUCGAGUGCCAGGAUACAAUCUUGGCUGUCGCGAUGCCUAAAAAGCAUUGCAUAGCAAGGGCCGGGCAAGACCGGUGCCAGCCGCCGCGGUAACACCGGCGGCUCGAGUGGUAACCGCUAUUAUUGGGUCUAAAGGGUCUGUAGCCGGCCGGAUAAGUCUUUUGGGAAAUCCAGCUGCUCAACAGUUGGGCUUUCAGAAGAUACUGUUCGGCUCGAGACCGGGAGAGGUGAGAGGUACUUCAGGGGUAGGGGUGAAAUCUUGUAAUCCUUGAAGGACCACCAGUGGCGAAGGCGUCUCACCAGAACGGAUCUGACGGCAAGGGACAAAAGCUAGGGGCACGAACCGGAUUAGAUACCCGGGUAGUCCUAGCCGUAAACGAUACUCGCUAGGUGUCAGCCACGGUGCGACCGUGGUUGGUGCCGUAGGGAAGCCGUGAAGCGAGCCACCUGGGAAGUACGGCCGCAAGGCUGAAACUUAAAGGAAUUGGCGGGGGAGCAC
rnacentral:rRNA from 1 species